AUUCGAGAGCAAGAUCCACUAUAACAAGGAUUGAAAC
rfam:Methanomethylovorans hollandica DSM 15978, complete genome.